ACCACAGAAUUUAGAACUUUAGAUAAGACCCCCACCACAUCUCUCUCUCCCCAUUGCUCUAUGGUAAAACUUCUGUGGGCAGAACCCAGAACUGAACUGUGUACAAUAAACUAAUCAUUAGCUGUUAUUAUUUUUGAUCACCGGUUAUUAUAUUUUAUCCUGUGACUGUGGGUGGUGGUCAUGAAUUAAAUGAGGGGACCCCAAAGAGGUGAGUUCAUUAGCUUAAUGUAAAUCAUACUAUAACCAACACAGCCUCUGGGGGGUGUGCAGCCCACCCCUCUUGCCAGGCAUUUAAUCAACAUGUUUUCCAUACCAAGCCAUUUGAGGGCUUCCCCUGGCUUACACACCUUUUGAGCAUUUGCAAAUUGAUUUUAUUACACUGCCUAAGGUUGGGCAUUAUAAAGCGUGUCCUGUUAAUAGUGAACUGACUCUCCAGAUGGAUGGAAACUUUCCUCAAUGCUGGGGCCACUCUUGAGGGAGAUUGUUCCUCGCUUUGACCCCCCUGCAUGCAUUGAUUCAGGCAGGGGAAUCCAUUUUACUGAUUCUAUUUUAUUCCAGAUUUAUUAUUCUUGUUUGGGGAUUACUCCCAAAUUCCACACACCCUACCAUCCCCAGAGCUAAGGCCAAGUGGAUCUCAUGAAUAGAGAAUUUAAAAAUUUGACUGGUAAUUUGAGCACUGAGAAAUGUCCGAGUUCCCCCCUUAGUCUUGUUUUAUAGCAGACCUAGGGAAGACCUACAUAUCUCACCAUUUGAAAUGUUUGGACAUCCCCCCAUAGAGGUUCACGUGUGUGUGUGCACACACAUGCACACACAUACACACAUACAUACAUGGGACACUAUUUUUUUUAUUACCUUCCAUCUUGGAGUCAAUAGUGUGUAUUGGUUCCAAGGCAGAAGAGCAAUAAGGACUAGGCAAGUGACUUGCCCAAGGUCACCCUUGGGAAGUGUCUGAGGCCAGAUUUGAACCUAGGACCUCCCAUCUCUAGGCUUGGCUCUCAAUCCACUGAGCUACCCAGCUGCCCUCUGGGGGACAUUUCUGAUGCUUCUUAUAUACAGGAUUUGCAGAACAAAUUCUGUGAACUUCAUGAAUCUGGAACUCUAGACUUCUCACUCCAUGAUCUACACCCAGGGGACAAGAUCAGCCUGCCUGGGAAGGUACUUCCUAAAUGCUAAGAAGCAACUGCUAAUGAGCCACUGAUCCAUGUGAAGAAACAUGAGAUCAAGGAGACCAACAAUCUCUAUAGAGCUGGUGAUGAUCUAUGCCCAGGCAGAGAAGCUGCCUCAGAGGAUUCGAGGAAGUGGCGGUUUGGUCACACAAGAAAAUGGAAGAAUCAAGAUGCCUGGCUCCUAGCCCAACAUUCUCCCCUCUAUCCCAGGGGAUCCAGGAUCCCCUCUCCAGGGAUCCAGGGAUCAAAGCUGAGUGAUCUGAGGCUGCAUUAGGAGAAGGAAAUCGUCCAGGACAGGUGAGCUUGGAGUACUCUGCACUUUACAUUGAGUGGAACAUACCUGGAGGAUUUCGUUCAAUUCUGGGCACCUCAGAAAGGCACACUGUCACUAUCUCAUUCUCAUCGCUAGCUCUAAUGCCUCGAAAGGGCAUUUGGGAAGAGUUGGAAGGGAUCCCAAGGGCCAUCUGCCCUAACUCAUGUCCCAGAAGGAAUCCACUCUACCACGUGACCCCUGGUCACAUCCACCUUCUGCUUUGAAGCCAGGGGGAACUAUCUACCUCCCAACACAGCCCAUUCUGCUGCUGGGAUGGACCCUAAUUGUUAGGUAGUUUAUCCUGAUAUCAAAUCUAAAUUGGUCCCUGCCAAUCCCACCCACCCACUGCUUCUGGGCUUCCCACCAAGACUAAAAAUAAUAAUUCUCUGGAGUCGAUUCCCAAAUCAAGCUCUUCAGUCUUUCUCUCUCUCUCCUAAGCUUAUUUCGUAUCUCCCACUGGCUGCUUGACAUUUCCAUCUAUUUGCACCAUAAGCAUCUUAAACCCAACAUGUACAAACCAGAACUCAUCUUUCCUCCUAAACCCUUCCCUCCUCCUAACUUUCCUACUUUUGUCCAUAGUACAUUCUUAAAGUCAUCCAGGAUCACAACCAAGGAGCCAACUUGGACCCUUGCUUCUCACUUACCCUUCACAUACAAUCAAGUGCCAACCACAACCUUCCUAGUUUAGACCCUCAUCAACAUUCACUUAGACUGGGCAGCUGGGUGGCUCAGUGGAUUGAGAGCCAGGCCUAGAGAUGGGAGGUCCUAGGUUCAAAUCUGGCCUCAGACACUUCCCAGCUGUGUGACCCUGGGCAAGUCACUUGACCCCCAUUGCCUAGCCCUUACCACUCUUCUGCCUUAGAGCCAA